rnacentral:tRNA from 1 species
CUUAGCUCAGUCGGUAGAGCACCUGACUGUUAAUCAGGGUGUCGUUGGUUCGAGUCCAUCAG